rnacentral:rRNA from 1 species
GUGCAGAAGCAUCGGUAAUACGAAGGGUGCAAGCGUUACUCGGAAUUACUGGGCGUAAAGCGUGCGUAGGCGGUUUGUUAAGUCAGAUGUGAAAGCCCCGGGCUCAACCUGGGAAUGGCAUUUGAUACUGGCGAGCUAGAGUACGGUAGAGGGUGGUGGAAUUCCCGGUGUAGCGGUGAAAUGCGUAGAGAUCGGGAGGAACAUCUGUGGCGAAGGCGGCCACCUGGGCCAGUACUGACGCUGAGGCACGAAAGCGUGGGGAGCAAACAGGAUUAGAUACCCUGGUAGUCCACGCCCUAAACGAUGCGAACUNGACGUUGGGCUCAAUUGAGAGUUCAGUGUCGAAGCUAACGCGUUAAGUUCGCCGCCUGGGGAGUACGGUCGCAAGACUGAAACUCAAAUGAAUUGACGG